rnacentral:rRNA from 1 species
AUGCGGGCGAGCUGCAACGGCUGCCGGGCCCUGCGCAAGGGCUGCGCCGACGACUGCACCAUCCGCCCCUGCCUCACCUGGAUCCGGGGCGCCGACGCGCAGGCCAACGCCACCGUCUUCCUCGCCAAGUUCUACGGCCGCGCGGGGCUGCUCAACCUCCUCGCCGCCGGCACCGACCCCGCCCUCCGCCCGGCGCUCUUCCGCUCGCUGCUCUACGAGGCGUGCGGCCGGGUGGCCAACCCCGUCUACGGCGCCACCGGGCUCUUCACGACGGGCCAGUGGGAGGCGUGCCAGGACGCCGUCCAGGCCGUGUUCGAGGGCCGCCGCAUCCCCGUCCCGUCCGGGGCCGUCAGGCAUCCCGGCUUCGUGGCGGCGUUCGACGUCCGCCGCCAUGUGCCCAGGCCCAAUGUCGUCCCUGCGCCUGCACAAGCCCCCGGCCCGCUCGGCGUCUCGCGCGCUGGGCGCACCAUGUUCAAGCGCGCGCCCUCCUCUUCGACGGACAAACCCAGGAUCUCCUCCGGCGCCAAGCGCGGCGAGCACGACGCUGACCUCGAGCGCGUGCCGAGCCAUGGCGAGUCGGCCGGCAGCCACGACCACGUCGAAGACGACGGCGUGGCAGUGGCAGUGGCAGUGGCAGUGGCAGUGGCAGCCAAGCAGGUGAUGGGAGAGUCGGGGGACACCGAGGCUGAGGCGGCCUCGCACGUCAGCCAAGCAGAGCAGAACCCCCCAGUGCCGCAGCUGGCCCGGGAAGACGACGACGAAAUUGGACUGGAGCUGACGCUCGGGUUUGGGCCGUCAACGCGCGUGCUGAGGUCGCCGCCGGCGCGCUCCGACGCGGCCAGCAGCUCGGGCGCCGAGUGCGGCCACAUCGGCCUGCUGCUUGAGCUGCCGGUGUGA